UGUUUUGUAGCGGGCCUGAAGCGACGUAGAAGAAGUCGAUAGGUUUGGCGGGAAGGAUUAAUCGGCUAAGAUUUGAAAGAAAAAUUGAAAGUCAAGACCAUGAUAUCGAUCUCGGGGCCAGGGAUACAUGCUGCCACCCUUUGACAGGCACAGGGUUACUUUGACCUGUUAACAGGCGCAGGGUUACUUUGACCUGUUAACGCGCAGAGAUGCUUUGGACAUCUGACAGGCCAGGUCAAAUUCCUUUUCCGGUUAAAGAUCUCGUCGAGAACGGGUGUGCGCGCAAACGAAUCUUUUGUAAGAAGUGCCAUCAUAGGAAAAUUCCAUUGUGAAACAACUCGACACGGUACGGAAAAGACAUAUGUACCUUUCGGUUGAUCGCGAUAUUUUGGCUCACGCACCCGCUGAUUCCCUUGCUCGUACAAGUGGAGUGACGGGGCACGGGAGUCUCGCGACAGAUCCUGCUCGGAGGAAAGACGCCACAGCUUCAAAGACCGGACGGUCUUUCGCUUAUUGCGUGGGGCAGCGACCCACGCUAUUUAAACGCACCCCAUCGUCCAGUCGCCGGCUAAGUAAGCCGCAGAGCGCAGUCAGCCGGGGGCUGGAAUAAGCAAACGCCUUCCCGCUUGGGACCCUUCGCCUGCGAGGAGCACCCUAGACAGAAUUAAACAGCAGCGCGCGCCAAGGCGCGUGAAGAAGAAGCAGGAGCAAAUCAGGGAUGCUGCAGUGCUAAAGCCACCUGCGGCCAUCGUUCUCUUGGUUGCCCGAGCGCAGACCAUGCUGCAGUGAUAAAGCCACCUGCGGCCAUCGUUCUCUUGGUUGCCCGAGCGCAGACCAUGCUGCAGUGAUAAAGCCAACUGCGGCCAUCGUCUUCCUGGUUGCCCAAUCGUCGGCCAAACGUUGUCCUCUUCGCCCCGACUCUGUCCAGGAUUCCUCUUCCAGCAGCUUCAGGGAGCACAGUUCACCAAAUCAUAGGGUUCAGCGGAUGCUAGCCUCGUCUAUUACCAUCCUAAUGUUUAAAGUAUAAAAAUCUCACAAAAUUUGUGUAUUCAUGAAGAAUAAUUAUCAGCCAACCUCAUUAACGUUCAAGUUCCCACUGGGAGUUCGGGAAAUGUGUUCAGAAUUUGCAGUUAUAAGUAUUGUUAAGACAUCGCUAGUUUAAUUCAUUUUCGUUACACAUUCGUUAAACUCAUAUCAUGCUUAAGCAAUCUUUAUAAAUAUUCACAAGCUAUUGUUGUCAGUUAAGCUCGGAUUGAAUUGUCAGGGAGAAAAUUCCCCCAAAAGUUCUGUGGCUCCACAUACAAGGAGUAGGUCGAAGUUGGGAAUUCUGAGUUGUAGCAAGAGAUAGAGUUUUCGUACUGUAAACCACCUUUCCGAAUUAACGCUUGUUUUCAGCCUACGCCGGAAGAUCGAUCUUUCGUCGUUGGAAAUUGAACAGUGAGUGAGUAAGCAUACCUUCCAAAAGUUUAAAUGUACGUAGUUUUGAAAACCAACUGAUCCUUGCCCAACCUCGCGAAUUUGAAACCUCUGACCCCUGCCUAUUGAGGCUUUGCCUUGAGCGAUCUGAUCGUUGGCUAAUUAGAGAUGCCAUCUGCAUCCAGUCAUCGACUGAACUCCGCAUAGGAGAUCACGUUUUGUCAGCCAGACCGCCUCUUUGAUUUUCGACUCAUUCCGAAGUUAAAAGAUUUAAUGAUUUUUCCACAUUUGUGCGAAAAGCGAAAGUAACGAACUUAAAGUAUUCAAUGAUUUUCCCAUGUUAUGCGAAAAGCAAAAUAUAUGAAUUUAAUUAGAAUUUAACUCGAAUUACAGUCUUAGUAUAUAUAUACUCAUUACAUUAUCAAAUAUCCUUAUAUACCCAA